GUCUGCACGACACAACCGCGAAUUUCAAGAGCGACUAGACUGCCUGUUGUCUCGUCUACGCUUUCCUACAACUCUCAGAUUCUUCGCAACAUGGAGAAACCCUACAGAUGUGAGGAGUGCAGCAAGCAGUUCAGUCACCUGGGUGAUUUAAAGGACCACAUCCGAACUCACACUGGUGAGAAACCCUACAGAUGUGAGGAGUGCAGCAGGCAGUUCAGUCGG